GAGGAAGUCUCAUGUCCCCGUCACAAUCUCUGUCUCAGAACUGUACCUACUACUGGGGCUUUGCAGCAUGGAUGGCGUAUUACAUCAACCACCCGCUGUACACACCACCCAUCUACGGGGAGCAGCAAAUCAGACUGGCCCUCAUCAUAUUCUUGUUCUGUCAGAUCGGCAACUUUUCCAUCCACAUCGCUCUGCGGAACCUCCGUCCACCANGCA